rnacentral:tRNA from 1 species
GAAAUAGCUCAGUUGGGAGAGCGUUACACUGAAGAUCUGAAGGUCCCUGGUUCGAUCCCGGGUAUAUUUU